rnacentral:rRNA from 1 species
GAUCAUGGCUCAGGAUUAACGCUGGCGGCAUGCCUAAUACAUGCAAGUCGAAUGAGAAGCUUGCUUCUCAUGGCGAACGGGUGAGUAACACGUAGGUAACCUGCCUUACACUCGAGGAUAACCGUUGGAAACGACGGAUAAUACUGGAUAGGACAGAGAUUCGCAUGAGACUCUGUUUAAAAGCAAUGGUGUAUGAGGGGCCUGCGGUGCAUUAGCUAGUUGGUGAGGUAACGGCUCACCAAGGCGAUGAUGCAUAGCUGGACUGAGAGGUUGAACAGCCACAAUGGGACUGAGAACGGCCCAUACUCCUACGGGAGGCAGCAGUAGGGAAUUUUCGGCAAGUGGGGGAAACCCUGACCGAGCAAUGCCGCGUGAACGAUGAAGUAUUUCGGUAUGUAAAGUUCUUUUAUUAGGAAAGAUAGUGACGGUACCUAAUGAAUAAGCUCCGGCUAACUACGUGCCAGCCGCAGC